GACGAACGCUGGCGGCGUGCUUAACACAUGCAAGUCGAGCGGAGCGGCGAACGGGUGAGUAACGCGUGAGUAACUGCCCCCCUCUCGGGGAUAACAGUUGGACACGGCUGCUAAUACCGGCUAGUGGGGGAUGAAUCGCGUCCUAUCAGCUUGUUGGUGGGGUAGUGGCCUACCAAGGCGACGACUGGUAGCCGGCCUGAGAGGGGGGCCGGCCUCAUUGGGAUUAGAUACGGCCCAAACUGCUACGGGAGGCAGCAGGGGGGAAUAUUGCACAAUGGGGGAAACUCGGAUGCAGCAACGCGCGUGCGGGAUGACGGCCUUCGGGUUGUAAACCGCUUUCAGCCAUGACGCGGUAGUGGCAGAAGAAGCACCGGCUAACUACGUGCCAGCAGCCGCGGUAAUAC
rnacentral:rRNA from 1 species